AUGACGGCGAGCCUUUGGCCGGACUCUGUCGAGCCGAGCAGCUUCACGUGCCUGGCGCGUUUGUUGGAGAUGGGGCCGGACCGGCUUCACGAGUGGCGUGUCUCCGCCGCUCGUGCCGGCGCUGAGAUGGCGCUUCCAUUUGCGCUGUCUUGGCAUCCGGACCUGCAGCUGGACGCGCUGAUGGGCCAGCGGGCCGGCUCAGAGCAGCUCUUGCAGGAGCAAGCCGGACGGAUUGCCUCCCAGGCUAGCUACAUCGCCGAGUUUGCCUUCCACGACGAGUUCCACCCGGAGCGGACGGAAGACGGCAGGGUCGUGGAUGGCAACGACUACGGCUUGCUUCUCCAUGAUCUGGAGGGGAGCUCCGAGGAGACGAGCGUCGAUGGGGGUGCCGAGGAGGACACAGGUGUCUCGGCGGACCCGGAGGCCGUCAGGGGAGAGCCGUCGACGUCAUGA
rnacentral:rRNA from 1 species